rnacentral:rRNA from 1 species
CCCUUAGAUGUUCUGGGCCGCACGCGUGCUACACUGAGUGGAUCAGCGGGUCAGGUUGCGCGAAAGCGUUUCCUAAUCUUUAAAUCCGCUCGUGAUGGGGAUUGACGGUUGCAAUUUUCUGUCAUGAACGAGGAAUACCUUGUAAGCGCGAGUCAUCAGCUCGCGUUGAUUACGUCCCUGCCCUUUGUACACACCGCCCGUCGCUACUACCGAUUGAAUGGUUUAGUGAGAUCUCCGGAUUGGCACCAUCGAGGCUUCACGGCCUUGACGGAAAGUCGAAAAGUUGCUCAAACUUGAUCAUUUAGAGGAAGUAAAAGUCGUAACA